GGAUAUCAAUGGUAGUAAUAUUCAAGGAAGAGGUAAUAGUCUCUCUAAGAGAGGCUGGGGUGUUUGGGCUAAAAAAGAUAGAAGAUUUUCCAAAAUUGAUGGUCUUAUCCACUGAUUCCUGAAUAUUUGUCUAGGAUGUUUCUAACCAGCCUAGCUUCAUUUUCAGAAGCCUUUGAAAAGAGAAUUGAAUCGUGUGCAAAUAAAAGGUGUGAAAUACUUUGAGAGGGGAACCCGGAUUGAUGGCCCAAAACUCAUAGGCCCAUUAGGAGGUCGUUGGCUGGUUGGCUUAACCGCUCAGCUCUUUCCAAAGCUCCGUAUUUAUGGAAACACAUUCAAAGCCGGGUCUGUUACUGAUUUUCUUUCGUCACUUGCUAAGUUUUGAAUCCUAACUUCAUCCUCCGUUUCUCUUAUAUUUCUCCGGCGGAUAUUUCAGUUAACCUACUCCUAUGCAUAGGACGCGUAUACAUACGCAACUUAUACGUCUACUGUACUAGGCUGCGAUGGAGAGCUUACCAACGACGACAAAAUCAGAGAGGCGAUGGAGGUCGAAUCCUCUGCAAAGCUCCAAAUCACUCUCUAGUCUUCGCCUUCUUCUGCCUCGCUUUGCUUUACGUUGCUGGACGAUUGUGGCAAGAUGCGGAGAACAGAAUAUUGCUUUCUAAUCUUCUUAAGAUGAACUCAGCCCAGAUUUGCUACUGAAGAUGCAUCUCUAAAGACUUAUGCUCAUGAUGAUAUAUCCGUGGGAUCUUGUAUGAUGGGUCUUCAAGCAACUUACAUUGACGAUAAUCGUUUUUGUUGCAGUAGCAUUAGACAAGAUAAAGUGUGUUCUCUAGCAUGAUCGGAGCAUAAGAGGGACUAAUCUUUCAUCAAAAUUCACAGUCUACAUUGCUCUAUGGAUGGCUUGGAUCUGUUUGCUGCAUUCGCUCAUAGGAUGGCCGGGAGCAUUGAGUAGAUAGUUCUUUUUAGAUGUGGCGAUUGGCCACAGUUCUUCUAGGAAACAUGCUAACAACAUUGUAAAACUCGGAGUGUGCCAACUUUUGGCAUACAACUGCGGUGAUAAGCUUGUUGAGAUGCUUACUGAUAGCGGUUGUCGAAGUCGUCAAAAAUAAAUCUAUUAAACAAUCAACAAUUAACUUGUAGAUGGUGGCAAUAGGAUCGAAGGCUGCUGCAGACUUGCUGCUGUGAUUCUGCAGUAGAGAGAAGAUGAUCAAGAGGUUGCUUCCUUUUAUAGGUGAAGAGUCCAAGUUCAAUUAGGGUUUUAAAAUCCCUUUUUGAUUUGGUCUUUGAUUCCUUUCAUUCCCCUUUUGAUGUUGAAUUUAAUUGCAAAUGGAAUUCCUUAGGUGAGAAACUCUUUCGUGGCUCUUGGGACUGUGAUGGUAGUGAUUGAGUUGGAUUUGGACUUCUCAAAAUUCGAAAUUCUGUUUUCUGUAC